GACGAACGCUGGCGGCGUGCUUAACACAUGCAAGUCGAACGGAGAAUUUAUUUCGGUAAAUUCUUAGUGGCGAACGGGUGAGUAACGCGUGGGCAACCUGCCCUUCAGAUGGGGACAACAUUCCGAAAGGGGUGCUAAUACCGAAUACGAUCACGCUGCCGCAUGGCGGUGUGAUGAAAGAUGGCCUCUAUUUAUAAGCUAUCGCUGAAGGAUGGGCCUGCGUCUGAUUAGCUAGUUGGUGGGGUAACGGCCUACCAAGGCGAUGAUCAGUAGCCGGUCUGAGAGGAUGAACGGCCACAUUGGGACUGAGACACGGCCCAAACUCCUACGGGAGGCAGCAGUGGGGAAUAUUCCGCAAUGGACGAAAGCCUGACCCAGCAACGCCGCGUGAGGGAAGAAGGUUUUCGGAUUGUAAACCUCUGUCGCAGGAGACGAAAGGAAUGACGGUAUUCUGUGAGGAAGCCCCGGCUAACUACGUGCCAGCAGCCGCGGUAAUCUGU
rnacentral:rRNA from 1 species